rnacentral:rRNA from 1 species
UACGUAGGGGGCUAGCGUUGUCCGGAAUCAUUGGGCGUAAAGAGCUCGUAGGCGGUCUGUCGCGUCGGCUGUGAAAACCCGUGGCUCAACCCCGGGCCUGCAGUCGAUACGGGCAGACUAGAGUGCGGUAGGGGAGACUGGAAUUCCUGGUGUAGCGGUGAAAUGCGCAGAUAUCAGGAGGAACACCGGUGGCGAAGGCGGGUCUCUGGGCCGUAACUGACGCUGAGGAGCGAAAGCGUGGGGAGCGAACAGG